AGCGUAGGACAAUGUCUCAAGACAGACUUAAGGAAAAUUCUUUGGGAAACACCCGCAUACAAGAAACUAUCAAGAUUUUAUUCGUGUUGAGUUUAAUUUUCGCCAUUUUCGCUAUGCUGGUGCAAGCAGCUCCCGAUAGAAAAGGAUCACGCCUUCCACUGAUACCCCAAAUCGGUACUAAAUUCCCGGCUUCCAGACUCGUUUACUAUUACAAUCGUAACAAAAAUCAUAAUAAUGGUUAAACAGCAUCCACAAAAAGAAUGGGCGUGAUGACAGGGAAAAAAAAUAGUGAUUUUAGAUUGGCCACAAAUAUUAGAUACAUUUUUUUUUAUUUUAACAAAUCAUUAUAUAAGUUUUUCAAUUUUAGGGUAGUCUAAAAGAUGGACUAAUUCACAAUGUGGGACACAUAUUUCUACUUAUCUCUUUUGUCAACCCUCUUAUAAUACUCUUUUUUUGUAAUUUAAGCUAGUUCACCGACAGCCUUAAAAACAAACUGUUUACUUUGAAAACUGAAAAUAAAAAUUAUAGCAAACAAUUGUUUUAAUAAAACUGACGCUUAUGUUGUCGGUGAACUACGGCCUUAGUUGUUUCGUAAUGCCUGAAUAAUUGUGUAUGUGUUAUGUUCUCGUCAAUAAAUGUAUACUUAUUUUUUAUAUUUUUAACUGUAUCAAACCUGUCCUUCGUUUUUUUUCAUUUGUUAUAUUCUACUUUCACUAUUGGAAAACUACACUAUCCCCGAGUAACAUAGGCUAUAUUUUAUCCUGGUACGGGUAUAAAUUCUUCAGGGAUGCGAGUGAAACCGCGGGAAAGCAGCUAGUAAUGUAAUAAAGGUUUUAUUUUAUUUAUUUAGGUAAAUUACGAGCCAUAAAAUUAUGUAUUCUUCUUAUUUUUAUUUAUAGCUCCUUCGUUAUUUUCGAAGUAAGUAUAUCAAAGUAGGACACUGAUCGGUUAGAAACAUAAACAGAUUGAAUCAUCAUUUAUAUAAAUAAAGCAUUAGGCUAAUUCUGCGAUUAAAAUGUAUGCGGAUGACAUCUCACAAUAUUAUGUUAUAUGGUAUUCGGACCAAUUAUUUCCUCUAUACUUAGAAUACAUUUAAUACUUACAACGAAGUACAUAUACAGUAUAUGUAUAUGUCUUUCCGUAUUAUUGACACGAUAGUGUUAACUAAUUUUGUCACUCCAAAUUGCAUUUAUUUUGUAAUUUUGUUCCUAUUGAAUCAAUAGCUGACGUUAUGUUUUAUUUUGUAUAUGUAGGUAUAAUAUAAACGUGUAAAUUCGAGGCAUAAACUAAAUAUAUUCUGUGAGCGAUAGUCGUGUUCAUAUUGAUAAUGAAGUUUAUUUAUAUUUUGUUAUUUUUCGUUAUGUUUGUCGGUAGUUUUGGUAAGAAGGAUGAAUUGUUAAGACAUCAACAACACAGCGGUGUAGGUAAAGGACAGGGGUUACAUGAGAUUGUGUCUUCAGGCUCAGCUGAAUACCUCCAAAAACGUUAUAAUGCCAUCAGAAACCAGACAAGAGUUGGAAAUACGGACUAUUUACCUAAGGGUAUAAAAUAAUAAUUUAAAAUUAAAUGUAA